AUAUCCUUCAACCCUUCCCCUCCCCCCUCCACCGAAGUAUAACGUCCCAGUGCUCAUCGCUUAAAGAGACAGAUGUUUAAAUAAUUUCAAACGUUGUGGUUUUGGACAUUGUUUUGGAAGAGAAGCUUCUACUCUGUAGUGAUACAAUUUGUAGUGAUUCCUAGCGGUACGCUGUACAAUGUGGUAGGCUCUGUUGUGAUAGGCUAAUGCUAAUGCACUGUGGAGUACUGUAGUGGUAUCAUUACUCGUACUAUGCUAAAUAGCGAUUGAUGUUUCAGGCUUUCUUGGAUCAAAGCACAUUCAGAGGAUUGAUUUUUUUUUAACGAUAUCACUUUCAAUAGAUCAAUAAACCAAUUGUUUUAUGUACACAAUUGAUACCUAAUUUUAAACUCAUUUUUAUGGUUUAAACUUAAACAAACACUGUCACCGAGGAUUGCAGAGAGUAUUUCAUUUUUCUGACAUCAACCUACUGCGUUGUUUAGGGCAUUACAUUGAUCAGUUAAUAGGUUGAUUUGUUGACGUAUUGCUGCUACCAAGAACGAGAAAUAAACAAGUCAUGUGACGAACAGACUCCAUGUCGAGUGUUGCUGUUUCUCUGCUGCUGUUCUUUGCUUGCUGCUCUGGUUGUGAAGCCGCUGUCUGGAGUGUGCAGGCAACAAAUACAUGUAUAGACAACAACGGUACAUUUAGAUGCCCAAGAAAAACUGUGUUCUAUGGAUCUUAUCAGGAAAGAAUUCUCUACCGGAAAUGCGAAAGUCUGAAAUGUGACUUUAUUUCUGCUGGUUGCGUCAUACGCCAAAAUGAUCCACCGCCAUCUUUAUCGUGCUUCAGUAUUCUGGGAAAGAUGACCAAGGCAGACGCAAACUGUCCUUAUAAACCAUGUGAAGGCUACAACAGCAAGUCUGUGUGUGUACGUAACAGCACGACCUGCCUGCAAGAUGUCGGGGAGCUGCAGACCUUUGGCCUGUGCCACGAGGAAGAGUUGUGCUGUCUUUUUAAAACAAAAGUUUAGAAAGUUUUUCUCUGGGUCGACGAUGGACGAGACACAAUCUGAAGAAAAAAGGUGUGGUUAUCAAAGACAGAUUUCCAAUAUACAAACCACCUCUUUCUACUUAUCAACAGAAAACCUGUGCCUGUGGUAAAACGUAGUGGCAGACGUAGCCAAGUUGUCUCGUUUUCGUUAUUCAACAUGGUGGAAGUGCAACUAAAUUUAGCAGACGAUAACUCGAUUUGAUUUCAUUCAGUACAUUGUAAGAAUCAUAAAAAAAGUGUACAUUUAUGAUGAAUUUAGAAAAUUUAUUAAUUAUUGUUUAAAAUUUAAAAAAAAAAGGAAGCUCUUCAUUUCACGUCCAACAGAAAAGCUUUUAAAAAACUUAACAAUUUCCACCAAGUUCAGGGUCACCAUAUACAUUGGGAGGAGAAAAAGGAGGAUAAAGCCUUGCAAAGGAAAAAAAAAAUCUUGAAAAAGUAAUACAACAAUGUAGUUGAUGACACAUGUCAGUAAAUUGAAGGCCGCAAAACUUAAAUAUCUUAUUUCUCAAAGGACUUUUCGGAGUAGUUAAUUAUGUGCACAAGCAUUCGCGUGCAACUCAAUAACGACAUUGUCUUUUGUUGCACCCUGUUUAAAUUUUGAAUACCUCAGUAACGAUUAGACUUAGAAACUGAUUCAAUGGAGAAUAAUUUACUCUCUUAUUUACUGCAACCUUUUCCAAUACAAUCGCUCCUUUAACUUAGCAUUAAGUUAAAAAAAAUGCGAAAGAAAAAGGGGCCGAUUUUGAGGAGCUAUGAGAAGCAGGUUUCUUUUGAAGAGCUCUCAUUAUAAAAAUAUAUCAUACGAAAGAAGUCAAAAACUUUUUCAUCUCUCUGCUAUGUAUGAGCGACUUAGGCGCGUGUUUCAACUAGUACAAGAUGGGGAGGGUCGGCGUCGACUGUAAGGGAAACAUUACAACUACAGUAAACAACAAUAGAUCUAGUCAACGCCAGACAUUCUCACAUUUUGGGCCAAGGCAUGUCGGAAGAAGGACAAGGCAGAGACGACCUUAACAGUGCGUGGGGUUCUGGGCGAGUGUCAGAUCUGGGCCAAGAAAAUUUGUACGAUGGGCUGAAGGUGACAACGAUUUUUUUUAAUCGCGGGGCCCCUCUUAGGCGCGGGGCCUGGGGCGGUUGCCCCACUCGUAACCCCUAAGGCCGCCUCUGGGUCACACGACCCCAAAAAGGGAUACACGCCCUCUUAUUGGCUUUUACCUAACGACUGGUAACUCUAAUCAGCUUCUGUAAAGGGAAACUCUGCCUUAUUUUUUUUUCUUUAGCUAUAUAUAGCAACUAGUUUAUUGUAAACACAAUUUUCUCAUAAAAAUCUACAAUUCAAAUCACCCAAUCAAUAUCGAGCCAUUCUCUGUUGACAUGCAUAGAAAUCAAGAGCAAAGUUCUUUUCACUUCGCGAAUAAAAAAGCAACAGCAACAAAAGCAGGGCAACUCUUACACAUUUAAUGUCUUCUAUAGACUGGAUAACACUUCUAUUCAAUGACUAUUCAGUCAAUACUGUUAAUAGUUAAUAUAAUUUCCAAAGUGUUUUAUGACCAAUGCUCGGUCGGUGUUAGAAGAGAUUUUAUUUGUUUACCGGUUGAAAUAAAACUGCCGAGGAAAUAGUGUUUGGGGUAUUCACCUAAUUAGUCCAACGUUUAUUCAUUUCUACUUAGGAAUUAAUAAGAUGGCGACCUAUUUUAAAAAAAAAAGACAUCCAUUAUUCAAACGUCUACAUUCCCCCCCCCCCCCGGCCAGAUGUAUACAAUGUUGUCCGCGAUCCCAGCUGGGGUAGAGCACUGUAAGCGUCCAAAGUGGGGUCCGCAAGGGGAACACGAUUCCGGUUUUAGUUUACGCAAAUAUAAUAGACCUGUUUUAAAACCGAAAUUUACGUAAUGAAUGCUCAAUUAAGCUGGUCAGUUCCACUUUCAAAUAUCCAACCCAGCGGUUCUCAACCUUUUAAGCUCGGCGACCCCUCAUACAUUCUCACACUCUGCCGCGACCCCCCCCCCCCACACACACACAUACACAUACAGCAAUAGAUGAGUAGACAAUAACAAUUCAUAUUUUCGAUGGUCUUAGGCGACCCCUGGCGAAUCGUCAAUCGACCCCCAAGGGGGUCGCGACCCACAGGUUGAGAACCCCUGCUGUAAACAAUGUUUAGUAGAUCUUGAUGAAUUGUUUUGUUAACUGGAGAUAGUACAGGAGAGACUUCUUUCGGGGAAACUUUUUUAUUAUAGGCACAUGAAAAAGUCGUCAACAUAACGUGCGUGACAGUCGGAAAAAAAUUCCGACGCAAGAGAGUCGCUAACAAGUUAGCGGAGAUGUUUUGAAAUGUCUUCAAAAAGUCGAUGUAAUGGCAGUCGCCUCUCGUGAUAACGAUAUAUCCUACAUAUAAGGGAAUAUGCUUCUUCCCUGAAGGGUUUAUCAGGGAAAUUGUGCGCAUCGUCUUCCAAGUCUAGAUGUCAAUGUCUUCGAUUCCGAAGGUUAAGGAUGAGUGCGCUGUUUCACGUGACCCAGUUGCGAGCUGCAUAUUUGUCCUCACCUAAAGGCCUAUCAUUGGAAGAGUAUAAAGUGCAGUAGAUCUCUACGUUCCCUUAACCAGGGUUCUUUCUUGGGAUGAAGGUGAGGGGGGGGGGCUGUUGUUUUUUUUAUUUAAAUCUAACAUUCAUUAGUUAUUAAGAGAAAAACAAUCGCUGUAUAAGUUGUAUAAAGGAAGUCUUUUUUUCUUUUUUAAAUAACAGUUUUAAUGUUUUAUCUUGUUUCUUUUGUAACUUGACUGAUUCUUUUUAAAAAAAUUAUAAGUUAUGUCGUAUAAAAUUGUCAGGCUUUGAGGCUAAAAGAAUACUCGAUGUGAUAUUUUAUUUAAAAAAAAAAAAAGACGUAUUUUAUGCAUGUAUCGUCUCAAUGUUCGUACUUACCAAUGAAAACAUGUGUGUGUGUGUGAUUACAUUGUAGAUUUAUGAUGUGUAUUAAAUGAUCAGGUGCAGACAUUGUAAGAGCCUUUCGUCUUUACAAUAUAUAGGCCUAUGACCUUUGAACUUGUCUGAUUAAAAAAAAACAACACGGUUAGAUAAGAAAAUAUAGGUUGCUAGAAAUCUAGGCUAUUGUAGAGCUCAAUUACCGAAGACCUAGACCUUUUAUCUUAAACAUCUUUCAAACCGCUUAAGAAUUUGGGAACAAAAUAUUUUUGUUUGUUUCAUGCUUAACGUAAAGCGACUUUGGAAAACGUAUUUCGUUUCGUUUAAACAGCCAGUGUGUGUUUUAUGAAAAGCUUUUAGACAAGGCACCUGGCUCUGAUGGACUUCCCGCUGAAAUAUUUAAAAUGGGUGGUGUCGCCCUAACCGAGUGGCUAACAGACUUGUUCGCUCUACGCUGGGAGAAGUGCGUGGUCUCACCUGAACUUCGAGAUUCCAUAAUCAUAUCCCUAUACAAAAAGGGUGACAAGGGCGCUUCAACUAUCGAGGCAUUACACUUCUGUUAGUAUCUUAUCUUAUAUAAUACAGACGUUACUUAAAAAAAGAAGACGAAUACGUCCUAAGCGUCAUGCAUUCAGAGUCAUGCAUAUUAACCAAUGACUUGAAUUCUGCCAAGUCACUGGUUUUCCUGGCUAGCUCAGGCACUAGGGAAGAAGGAGUAUUUGUACAAAUCUGUCCUAGCAUGAUAUUUGUUCUGCGACAAUUACAAGAAAAAUGCAAAGAGCAGAACCUAAACCUUUACGCUGCCUUUGUGGAUCUCACCAAGGCUUUCGACACGGUCAGUCGCGAUGGCUUGUUGAGGAUUGUGGCCAGGCUGGGAUGCCCACCUACGUUCCUAUCCAUUCUCAAGCAGUUUCACGUGGGACAAAAAGGCCAGACACAAUGGUGUCCUGUCUGAUCAUUUCCCAAUAGAAAAUGGCGUGAAGCAUGGCUGUGUAAAUGCUCCUACUCUAUUCGCUAUCUUCUUUGGCGUAAUGCUGGGUCAAAUGAGGCAGCGAUUGCACGAAGGCAUCUACAUCCGGUUUCGUCCAGACGGCAAUGUGUUCCAUCUUCGACGUCUACUAUCCCAUACAAAAACAAAGGGGAUGGUCAUAACGAAGCUUCUCUAUGCCGAUGAUUGCCCCCUGCUAGCUCACAAUGAACAUGAUCUCCAGAUCGCGGUAAACGAAUUUGCAUACGCUGCCGCCUCUUUCGGUUUAUCUAUAAACUUGGGAAAAUAGAAGUCAUGUUCCAGAAGUGACCCAAUAAAACAUACUCAGCCCCAAGGAUCACCGUAAACGGACAGCCCCUUAACGUGGUAGACCACUUCACAUAUUUAGGUAGUAUAGUGUCAAAUGACGCCUCACUUUCAAGGGAAGUUGAUAACCGUCUGGCCAGGGCCAGUAGCGCUUUUGGACGCCUUCAGGCGAGAGUUUGGCGGAACAAAUCGCUCCACCUGCCUACAAAAAUCAAUGUCUACCAGGCGGUGGUUCUCUCAACCUUCUAUAUGGCUCUGAGACAUGGACACUAUAUAGAAAACAACUAAGACUUCUUGAGCGCUUCCACCAAAGAUGCUUGCGCUCCAUCAUGGGCAUACGGACGCAAGACCGCACUACAAACAGCGAUGUCCUUGCGAACGCCGGUAUGGACAGUAUAGAGGGACUUUUUAUAUAUGUCUAUGUCUUUAGUAUUCAGAAUGAGAAUUCUUUUUUCAUUUAAAUAGAUUCUAGACCUAUAUUUAAAUGUUUCGGCUUGAUUCUACACUAUUGUUUAAAAUGACUAAACUGUUUAACUUGAUAUUUAUAAAUUAUAGUGGCUUAAUAUGUCAUUGUAACACACACACACACUCAUACACAUCAACUAUAGGGAAGAAAUCGUUCGAAUAGAAAAAGAGCUGAAAAUCACAAGCAAGAUUUCAUUCGUCAAACUUCUUUGACAGAACAUCUGCAAUUGACAAGAUAAGAUCAUGAAAAAGACAUUUCGCCUACAGUGGCACUUAGGACUUUUUUCUAAAAUUUCUUACGGAUUCAAACCUACAACCACUUGAUAAACAAUAGAACAUCGCGCCUCUAGGCCAGCUUUCUUUAUUAAAACCCGAGCCACGUGAUGUCAAUAAGUGUGACAUAUCAUAUAGGUCAGGUGCUGAGUGACAGCUUGGGGCGGGAAGAGACAGUCUAUGUUAAUAUUAUGUACAUAUUAAUUAAUGAUUGUUUGUAUAAUCUACUUCACCAUGUUUCUAUGUAGAUCUAGGUAUUCCUCACUCAUCUGGUCCACAUAAGGCUCCUGGCAAGCUGCAUCUCCUGCCUCAACCCUUCUCGUUUGAUUAUCUACCUUUGGUUGCCCUGGGCAACGUCCCCGGAUGUUUUUAUUAUGUCUUGCUAAGAUCUAGUAGGCCUACACUCUAGUCACCACUCACGAGUCCCAUACGCUAGGACUAAUUUUGUACAAAUACUCCUUCCCUAGUGCUAUUAGAGCAUGGAAUGGGUUGCCUGAAUCGGACUGGAAAACAAAAUGGCUUGGCAGAGUUUAGGUCAUUGAUUAACAUGCAGACUAGAUUGACCUGGGGACACUCGUAGGACGUAACCAUCUUCCUUUUUGUGAAGUGACGUCUUUAAUUCAAAAGAAGAAACAGUUUUGUCUUGUCAGUCUUAAUUGUGCCAUUAGUUACUGUCUUGAGUACAAUAAGACAAACACACGUUUUUCCCCACUCAAAAGAGAAAGACAAAUUGAGCGCAUUGUAACAACUACUUAUUUGUACAAAGCUUCUAUCAACUCACUCUGUCUGUCUGUCUGGGUACAAACUUUGAACAUGUUUAUGUCUCCCAUUUCCUAUUCACGGAUCAAGUUGAAACGAACAUUAUUCAUUGCACGUGACAAGACAUGAAUCAAUCAAAAAAAAAGUUAGUUAAAUUAUCAAUGGUGAUUAUUUUUAUUUACUAAAGGGAAUAAAUGUUACUUACUGAGAGCUGUGGAUGAGUAUACAGAUUUAAGCCCCUUAUUUUGUUUGAACACAUUUACUCUCCCACUUCCCAUGAUUUGGAUCAAGUUGAAAUUUUACAUAAUUAUUUAUAGUCGGUGACAAUACACGAAACUAUUCAAAAAUUAACCAAUUAGUUAAUAAAUUCCUUUUAUUUUAAAUAGCAAAAAAAAAGGGAGCUAAACCUUACCCUAUUCAGAUAAAUGUCAGUAAAAUGUUAUUUU